rnacentral:misc_RNA from 1 species
UCAUGGACUAGCUAGUUUCUAUAGGAGGUUUGUGUGAGGACUUUAGUACUAUUGCCGCCCUCUUGAACGAGGUUAUUAAAAAGAAUGUUGGAUUUAUAUGGAAAAAAGAACAAGAACAUGCAUUUAACUUGAUUAUAGAAAAGUUGUGUUCUACUCCAUUAUUGGUUUUACCUAACUUUGCCAAAACUUUUGAGAUGGAAUGUGUUGCCUAUGGGAUAGGUAUUGGAGCUGUUUUAAUG